UCUUUUUCUUUCUCUCCUUCUCCGCCUCUCUUUCUCCUUCGCCCUCAUCUCUUUCUCCUUCAAAAGACGAACCAGGAAAACCCCCUAAAUUUGCCAGAAAUAAAACAUAAACCUGCGAGAAUCCGAUCACCUAAUGUUAUAUCUGCAAACCCAAUUUUACAGAAAUCAAAUGCAUCUUUGAAUAACCUGAUUUCCCAAACCCUAGAGAUUGGAUUUUUAGACCGUAAGAAGAAUCAAGUGUUUACCCUAGAAAUUUGAGAUCAAUUUGUGAAUGAAUACUGAUUUUUCAGCUGGAUUUGUGUUUUAGAAGGGAAUGGAGUUCAGUUGGAUUUGUACCUUUAAAGUUGCAGAAGGGAAUGAAGUCGACAUUAAUAGAUAAGCUUCACGGGGUUGAAAUUGCUUCAAGUUUUCUAUUGCUGUUGAGAUGCCUAAAGUUGCAGCUAUUAAGAACAGGCAAGCUGAAAACAUUGGUAUGAAUAGGAUGUUGACAUUGGUGAGGAUAUUCCUACUGGUAAUUACCCUCCAAUGGAGAUUGAGAAAGAUACGGGUUCUGCUAAUGACAAAACUGGUGAUGGUUCUGGUAGUUCCAGCAGUUGUGAUUCAUCUUUGGAUAGAGAUUCUGGUAGUUCUUCAAGGAGUGGUUCCGAUGGUUAUGAAGCACAAUCUCAUUUCUUUGAAUCCGAAGCUGAUAAAUCAAAUGAGGGAUUCGCUUAAUUUGUUCACUGAGAAGUAAUGGUGUUUUUAGAUAGUGAGAAGAUAAACCUAAAACAGAGUUGCAGGAAGAAGCACAUGUAAAAUUACAGCAGAGACCGUGAAGGUCUGAGUUUGGGAUUUAUACGGGUCUGCUGCUUACAUUCUGCGAUGUCAUCCGGCUAAGCUGCAUACAAAUGAUGAACGUUAUUCUUAGUUCCUGAAUUGUGUAAGCACACUUAGAGGUAUGGGAUGCAGUAGCAGCAGACGCAAAGUUGCUAGAGAAAAGGAACUCACACUUUGUUCUUUUUGGAAUAUGUUUAUAUAUUUACAGGUACCAUUUCGAAAUGUGUGGCUCAGUGCAUGAAGGUGCACUUGUCUUUAAGAAACUUCAAACUUAUUAUCUAGGAGUAUUUGCUAGGAUUUGUAGCACUUAUAUUUAGGAAACCUUGAACUUUUAAUUAGAACUUGUAUUUGUGUGAAUUCUGGAAUUGAAUCCUUUUAUGUAUGAUUCUGAACUAAAUUUAUGAAUACAAUUAUUGGAAUGGUAAUUCUGUAUUGAUGAAUCAGGUAAUUUUGAUUUGAA